UGGGAGCCUUGGGAGGGAGAAGCCACCUCCACGGCCCCACACUGACCACCGGAAGGAACCCAAAGCAGCUCAAGACAAGGACUUGGCCCCCGGAUUAAUCCAUGAGGACUGCGAUGCCUGCGAUCCUCUUCAUUUUGGGAUUAUCUCAGUAU
rnacentral:lncRNA from 11 species